rnacentral:lncRNA from 1 species
ACCGGUACCCGCAGCUGAGAUUGCAAACUCGAGAGCAGCCUGCGCAGGAAAACUAUAUGGGGUACCGGUACAACCCUUUGUACCGGUACAAAAUGCAGAGAAUCUGCAAAUUUGCAAAUUCCAAUGCUGAUUCCUGCUCUCGCGUCCCCACUGAGUCCGUUUUGCGUCUAUUUCGCGCCAACGUGACUCGGACUCCUCCCAACACUCUCCUGACGUGUCGACAAGCCUCAACUGCUGCACUCCAGGGGUACUACAUUAAAUUUUAAAUCUCAAAUUUUAAAUUUCCAAAUUUAUUUUUCAAAUUAAAAUAUCAAAUUUUAAAUUUUGUACAAAUUUUAAAUUUUAAUUCAAAAUUAAAAUUAUUUUAAAAUAAAAUUUAGUAAAAAUAUUAUUAUAUGCAAAUAUUAAAAUUUUUUUACCAAAUAGUUUUAUAAAAUUAAUUCAGAAAAAUUUCUUUUAUCUAAACACAGCCAAACGUUUUAUAACUUUUAAACAAAAUUAAUUUUUCAAACUAAAAUCAAUGAUACAGAAAUUAUUUUUCAGAAUCUAAGCCAAACAGGCCAAUGUCAGACUAAAAGUUUGAGGGCUGAAAUAAAAUUUAAUCAAGUAUACAAAAAAUUAUAUGACCUCGCAGUUUAACUAAACCAAAAAAAAUAUAAUUUGUAGAAAUUGGACGCUUUUCGAUGGGACAAAAGCAUUGCUAUUCUUUUUGCCAUUCGAUUGAAUCGUCCCUAUUACUAUUGAUUGAAUUAACCACCAAAUAAGAGUAGGGGUGGAAACGAGCCGAGCUCGAGCGAGCUUAUAUCAGCUCAAAUUCGGCUUGAAAUUAAUUUCGAGCCUUAAUUUAGGCUCAAGCUCGGCUUGAAAUUAAUUCGAGCCGAGCUCGAGCGAGCCUAAUUUCGAGUCGAGCUGAGCUCGAGCUCUAAACGAGCCGAUUGAAAUUCUCGACAUUAUAUAAUCAAUAGUUUAAUUUUUAUAGAACAUUACCUACAAUUUGAUGCAACAUGUCCAAUAGUUCAAAAUACAAAAUAAUUAUAAGAAAUGUGAGCUAGGGUGAUUUCCUGACUCGAUGAGGGUCUAAGAGAGAGAGAGAGAGAGAGAGAGAGGAAAAAAAGUAGGGAUUUAAAAUUUUGAUUGUUAUCAUGUUUUAGGGUUAUGUGCAACAGUGAAA